rnacentral:rRNA from 1 species
AACGAACGCUGGCGGCAUGCCUAACACAUGCAAGUCGAACGGGACCUUCGGGCUUAUUGGCGCAGGGGGGGUUAACGCGUGGUAACUUGCCCUUAGGUUCGGAAUAACUCCCCUAAGGGGGACCUAAUACCGGUUAAGGUCUUCGGACCAAGGAUUUAUCGCUUUGGGAUGGGCUCGCGUUGGAUUAGCUAGUUGGUAGGGUAAAAGCCUACCAAGGCGACGAUCCAUAGCUGGUCUGAGAGGAUGAUCAGCCACACUGGGACUGCGACACGGCCCAGACUCCUACGGGAGGCAGCAGUGGGGAAUAUUGGACAAUGGGCGAAAGCCUGAUCCAGCAAUGCCGCGUGAGUGAUGAAGGCCUUAGGGUUGUAAAGCUCUUUUACACGGGAUGAUAAUGACAGUACCGGGAGAAUAAGCACCGGCUAACUCCGUG